rnacentral:rRNA from 1 species
AUUGAACGCUGGCGGCAUGCCUAACACAUGCAAGUCGAACGAGUGGCGGACGGGUGAGUAAUGUCUGGGAAACUGCCUGAUGGAGGGGGAUAACUACUGGAAACGGUAGCUAAUACCGCAUACCAUCGGAUGUGCCCAGAUGGGAUUAGCUAGUAGGUGGGGUAACGGCUCACCUGGGCGACGAUCCCUAGCUGGUCUGAGAGGAUGACCGGCCACUCGCGGAAUGAGACACGGUCAAGACUCCUACGGGAGGCAGCAGUGGGGAAUAUUGCACAAUGGGCGCAAGCCUGAUGCAGCCAUGCCGCGGGUAUGAAGAAGGCCUUCGGGUUGUAAAGUACUUUCAGCGGGGAGGCGUUACCCGCAGAAGAAGCACCGGCUAACUCCGUGCCAGCCGCCGCGGUAAUUC